GUGCUUGCUUCAGCAGCACAUAUACUAAAAUUGGAACGAUACAAAGAUUAGCAUGGCCCCUGCACAAGGAUGACAUGCAAAUUUAUGAAACGUUCCAUAUUUCU